rnacentral:lncRNA from 10 species
GGCGGGCUUGGCGGCGAAAGGCGCUUCCUCAGCCCGCGCGGGAGACCCAGAAGUAGUACUGAGGUAGCGCUCGUCCUCCCGCCGGUCCACCACCACCGAGUGUAGCCCGGGCCCGGCCUAUUUCAUCAGACACAACCCCAGAGCCGGGAGCCACCCCUACCCCGGGAGCCCUUCGCCAAGCACGCAGCUCCAGACCAGAAGCAGUCGCUCCGACCCAGAGCUCCGGGUGGGGCAGAAGAAUCUUUUCUUGCUGCUCUCCUAGGAUCUACCAACCAGAGAUUCUAAUGUGAUACGUUUGGAAUGGAGUUAUCGAUCUGCAUUUUUAAUAGGCAUUCCUCCAGGCUUGGGUCCCAGCUCCAAAAUGUCUCAUUAUCUGUAUUUGAAUAUCCCCAAAUUUGAAAAAUUCAAAAUCUGAAACACUUCUGAUCCCAAGCAUUUCAGACUCCUAAGAGUUAAUACGAAGUAGAAAGAGAAGUUGGAGUUAAGCAGCUCGUUCCAGUUCUGAUUUUGCCAUUUCCUGUCUGAGUGACCUGAGUUGCUGACAUCUAGGAUGACUUGGGAAGUUACACGUUGAGUACAGAAGAGCCUUUCUCAGCCCAGGUUCCUGAAUGUUAUGUGUGAAGCAGAGCACUCCUGCUCUCAUAACCAAUUAGUGACUGGACAAGAAAUAAACUUCUCUUGUCUUA